GGAGAUAGGAAUUCCUGGUGUAGCGGUGGAAUGCGCAGAUAUCAGGAGGAACACCGAUGGCGAAGGCAGAUCUCUGGGCCGUAACUGACGCUGAGGAGCGAAAGCGUGGGGAGCGAACAGGAUUAGAUACCCUGGUAGUCCACGCCGUAAACGUUGGGCGCUAGAUGUAGGGACCUUUCCACGGUUUCUGUGUCGUAGCUAACGCAUUAAGCGCCCCGCCUGGGGAGUACGGCCGCAAGGCUAAAACUCAAAGGAAUUGACGGGGGCCCGCACAAGCGGCGGAGCAUGCGGAUUAAUUCGAUGCAACGCGAAGAACCUUACCAAGGCUUGACAUACACCGGAAACGGCCAGAGAUGGUUGCCCCCUUGUGGUCGGUGUACAGGUGGUGCAUGGUUGUCGUCAGCUCGUGUCGUGAGAUGUUGGGUUAAGUCCCGCAACGAGCGCAACCCUCGUUCUAUGUUGCCAGCGCGUUAUGGCGGGGACUCAUAGGAGACUGCCGGGGUCAACUCGGAGGAAGGUGGGGAUGACGUCAAAUCAUUAUG
rnacentral:rRNA from 2 species